rnacentral:siRNA from 1 species
CACCACCACCAACGUCACCACCAC